UUAACAUUGCUCCAGGUUAAAAACACACACACACACACACACACAGAAGAUUAGCAUGGCUCCUUGUACAAGGAUGACCCCAAAUUCUUGAAGCAUUCCAUAUUUUU
rnacentral:snRNA from 1 species